GUUAGUAACUUCUCAAGAGCUUCUCAUCUUUCUUGAAUUUUUAAAGCCUGAAUAACAUUUUUUUCUUCUUUGAUCUUUAUCUAAUUAAUUUUUCCAGCCUGAGGUUUUUAUCUCGUCCCUGAAGAUGUCACGUAAGCAAUGCCCAGAAGCAAAUGGUGUUUUAGGAAUGAUCGAUACCUACGACAGACCAGCAGAUUACUACGCUGAUGGAGCGUAUACUGGCACCGAAGAAUACGCAUGUGGAUUUGAAAACAAACCAGGGAAGCGUAUUCCUAAAGCCGGAUACAUAGCUCAUGCUGGUGUAGGACGAGUUGGAGCUGAGUGGAGCAUCUUUUCAGUUGGGGCUAAAGGCCCACACGUGUCUGUACAGGCCGAAGCUAACGGGCGGCUGGAAGCAGGAGCCAUGGCUCGAGCUGGGAUUGGCAGUGCAUCAGUUGCAGUUGGUCCAGCUCAUAUAAAGGUGGGCCUGGGGAUUGAUACUGGGAUUAAAAUUAGUCCCACUAAAAUAAAGGUAAAGGUGCUUGGGACUGGGGUGACUUUUGGAAGCACAAUGGGAAUUUCUUUUUUUGGAAGUGAAUUUAAAAUAAAACUUUUGUGAACAUAUUAAAAUAAAAAUCACUGUUCAUCUCCUCUUCACAUACUGUACGCAUCUCUUCCUCUUCACAUACGCACAGUCACUUUACUUACCGAGUUUAAAUCUCUUCUCAAAACCCACUUAUUCACACUGGCUUUUCAUACAUAACUCAAUCUAUUAGUUACUUAUUUGUAUUUUAUAUUUAUUUUCCACU